GACGAACGCUGGCGGCGUGGAUUAGGCAUGCAAGUCGAACGGUAUCAUCCUUUCGGGGGUGAGAGAGUGGCGAACUGGUGAGUAACACGUAGGUUAUCUACCCUCAAGACGGGGACAACCCAGGGAAACUUGGGCUAAUACCGGAUGUGAGCAACUUUUAGUUGUUUGAAAGGUGGCGUAAGCUGUCGCUUGGGGAUGAGCCUGCGUCCUAUUAGUUAGUUGGUGAGGUAACGGCUCACCUAGGCAAUGAUAGGUAGGCGGCCUUAACGGGUGGUCGCCCACACUGGGAUUGAGAUACGGCCCAGACUCCUACGGGAGGCAGCAGUCGAGAAUAGUCUACAAUGGUCGGAAGACUGAUAGUGCGACGCCGCGUGAACGAUGAAUCCCUUCGGGGUUAAAGUUCUUUUAUAUGUGAGCAGUGCUUCUUAUAUUAACAGUAUGGGGAAGAGAUAUUAGCAAUAUGAAUAAGCAACGGCUAACUCCGUGCCAGCAGCCGCGGUAAGCUCG
rnacentral:rRNA from 1 species